GGGUGGCAUCCCAAUCCCCGCGGCCACCACCCCCUUCCUUUCAAUCCCUUCUUGCUGUUGGCUGUGAGAGCUGUAGGCAAAGCAGCGGUAGAAGCGCGCUCACACCAUGGUGUUCGAGGUCCCUAUCUUGUAUCUUAUCUAUCUAGUGGUCCGGACUCCGGAGUGCGUGAAGGUGCUCGUGCUGUGUUGCCCGCACGCAGUGGCGGCAGCGGCGCACACUAGCGGCUACAUUCCGCGCAAGCUAGCUGCAUCUGGGCCUAUGGCUGGAUGUUCAGAGUUCUUGGACACAAUGAAGUUUGGGUCUUAGAUGGAGGACUACCUCAGCGUGGCGAGCUUAUGGAUUCAAUCUUGGAAGCAACUGCCCUGAUGAUACAGUUUUCUGAAAUCCAAAGCUGCUAAUAGUGCUGUUGAAACAACUGCUUACGCUGCUGAAUUGGCAAAUGCUGCUGCAUUUCAAACUGAAUUUGAACCUCAGCUAUCCUGGACAUUAGAAAAGUCUAGCUCUCUCCAUCUUGCCUGAAAACUUAAGUCACUUACUUAAUUUUACCUGCAAAUGAUAAAUCUGAUCAUGAACUGCUCUCUGUCAGUGUUAAUAGGGAUCGAUCCGGGUUGUCCGUAUAUCGUGAUUUUUGUUUUAACCUAUUUGGAAAGCUAGGAAUGCUUCUUAUUUGGAGAAAAAACAGGUUAAGGGUCCUAUAAACAUAGUGUUCUCUAUUUGUCAUUGGCUCAUACAUUCAGAUGGACUUCAAAAGGGUGCUAGCAAAGGCAAGUUGAAGAUGGAACUUCAUCUACUGUCGUCUGUCCCUACUGAAGUGUUCCAUUCAAGAUAUGGAUGGAAGCCAAUGGUGAAAAGGAUCGAGGAAGAGGUUGAUUAGAAGCUUGUAUCGACUCCAUUGAACUGAUGUAAACAUGGGGAUAAUGGUUUUAGGGCCUGUACGAGGUGACCCUGGACACAAGAGGCGUGACGGCGCCAUGAAAGGAAGCCGCACCUCAAGGGUUGGGAGGAGGUAUAAUUAGAUUGGUUUAUUCUUGCUUGCCCCAUAAAGAUUACAUGGCGGCCUUUUAUAGGGAGGACUCAACUUGGCAUCCAAGAAACUAAUCUCUACUUUCAUGAUAAACUAUAUCUUAAUAUUCCUAUCUUAA